rnacentral:rRNA from 1 species
UACGUAGGGUGCAAGCGUUGUCCGGAAUUAUUGGGCGUAAAGAGCUCGUAGGCGGUCUGUCGCGUCUGCUGGUGAAAACUCAGGGCUUAACCCUGAGCUUGCAGUGGGUACGGGCAGACUAGAGUGGCGGUAGGGGAGACUGGAAUUCCUGGUGUAGCGGUGAAAUGCGCAGAUAUCAGGAGGAACACCGGUGGCGAAGGCGGGUCUCUGGGCCGAUACUGACGCUGGAGGAGCG